UGGGGAAUAUUGCACAAUGGGCGCAAGCCUGAUGCAGCCAUGCCGCGUGUGUGAAGAAGGCCUUCGGGUUGUAAAGCACUUUCAGCGGGGAGGAAGGCGAUAAGGUUAAUAACCUUGUCGAUUGACGUUACCCGCAGAAGAAGCAUCGGCUAACUCCGUGCCAGCAGCCGCGGUAAUACGGAGGGUGCAAGCGUUAAUCGGAAUUACUGGGCGUAAAGCGCACGCAGGCGGUCUGUCAAGUCGGAUGUGAAAUCCCCGGGCUCAACCUGGGAACUGCAUUCGAAACUGGAAGGCUAGAGUAGUGUAGAGGGGGGUAGAAUUCCAGGUGUAGCGGUGAAAUGCGUAGAGAUCUGGUGGAAUACCGGUGGCGAAGGCGGCCCCCUGGACAAAGACUGACGCUGAGGUGCGAAAGCGUGGGGAGCAAACAGG
rnacentral:rRNA from 1 species